GAUGAAGAACGCAGCGAAAUGCGAUAAGUAAUGUGAAUUGCAGAAUUCAGUGAAUCAUCGAAUCUUUGAACGCACAUUGCGCCCGCCAGUAUUCUGGCGGGCAUGCCUGUCUGAGCGUCAUUUCAACCCUCAUGCCCCUAGGGCGUGGUGUUGGGGAUCGGCCAAAGCCCGCGAGGGACGGCCGGCCCCUAAAUCUAGUGGCGGACCCGUCGUGGCCUCCUCUGCGAAGUAGUGAUAUUCCGCAUCGGAGAGCGACGAGCCCCUGCCGUUAAACCCCCAACUUUCCAAGGUUGACCUCAGAUCAGGUAGGAAUACCCGCUGAACUCAAGCAUAUCAAUAAGCGGAGGA
rnacentral:misc_RNA from 1 species